rnacentral:rRNA from 1 species
GACGAACGCUGGCGGCGUGCUUAACACAUGCAAGUCGAACGGUGAAGCGCCUUCCUUUUUGGUGGGUGUGGAUGAGUGGCGAACGGGUGAGUAACACGUGAGUAACCUGCCCCCUUCUUCUGGAUAACCGCAUGAAAGUGUGGCUAAUACGGGAUAUUCUGGGUCUGUCGCAUGAUGGGUCUGGGAAAGAUAUUGUUUCGGUGGGGGAUGGGCUCGCGGCCUAUCAGCUUGUUGGUGGGGUGAUGGCCUACCAAGGCGGUGACGGGUAGCCGGCCUGAGAGGGUGGACGGUCACACUGGGACUGAGACACGGCCCAGACUCGUACGGGAGGCAGCAGUGGGGAAUAUUGCACAAUGGGCGCGAGCCUGAUGCAGCGACGCCGCGUGAGGGAUGGAGGCCUUCGGGUUGUGAACCUCUUUCGCCAGUGAAGCAGGCCUGCCUCGUUUGUGGGUGGGUUGACGGUAGCUGGAGAAGAAGCGCCGGCUAACUACGUG